AUUGAACGCUGGCGGCAUGCCUUACACAUGCAAGUCGAACGGCAGCACGGGAGCAAUCCUGGUGGCGAGUGGCGAACGGGUGAGUAAUAUAUCGGAACGUGCCCAGUCGUGGGGGAUAACGCAGCGAAAGCUGUGCUAAUACCGCAUACGAUCUAAGGAUGAAAGCGGGGGAUCGCAAGGCCUCGCGCGAUUGGAGCGGCCGAUAUCAGAUUAGCUAGUUGGUGGGGUAAAGGCCCACCAAGGCGACGAUCUGUAGCUGGUCUGAGAGGACGACCAGCCACACUGGAACUGAGACACGGUCCAGACUCCUACGGGAGGCAGCAGUGGGGAAUUUUGGACAAUGGGCGCAAGCCUGAUCCAGCAAUGCCGCGUGCAGGAUGAAGGCCUUCGGGUUGUAAACUGCUUUUGUACGGAACGAAACGGCCCUUUCUAAUACAGGGGGCUAAUGACGGUACCGUAAGAAUAAGCACCGGCUAGCUACGUGCCAGCAGCCGCCGCCG
rnacentral:rRNA from 1 species